UGUAGAAAACAUAGGUGGGUGCUAAUUUCUGCUUUCCGGUUUAAUAGCCAUCCACAUGUUCUCUGUCAACCCAGGGGGAAUUCUAUAAGAAAGGCUGGCAUCUCUGAGCGUUUCCAGAACCAUAUCCAUGCUUUCUAUCAACCGCGAUCCAGACCCGCCUCCAGCCCCCAAGGAUGACUUGCUACAGUCCUCUAGGAUACUGCAGUCCGAAGAACUACAGCUGGAAAAACAACAUGGGGAAAAGUUGUUACCACCUGUCUGGGUAUAACUCUAGCUGUUGCCAACCCUCUGGAUGUCACUAUGGCAGUAGUCCUUGUGGUUAUGGCUAUGGAUCCGGAUCCAGUUAUGGCUCCUCUGGCUACAGCUCCGAAUCCAGCUGCUGCUCACCUCACUACAGAUCCAGCUGUUGCUCAUCACAGGACAGCCCCAGCUUUUGCUCACCCCUGUAUAGCUCCAAAUGUUGCCCACCUUGGUACAGCUCUAGCUGUUGCUCACCAAGCUACAGCUCCAGCUGUUGCUCACCAAGGUACAGCUCCAGCUGUUGCUCACCAAGGUACAACUCCAGCAGUUGCUCACAUCGAUACUACUCCAGCUGUUGCUCACCUAGAUACAACUCCAGCUGUUGCUCACCUGGGUAUAACUCCAGCUGCGGCUCACAUCGAUACUGCUUUCGCUGUUGCCCCCUUGCUGCUGCUCCAGCUGUUGCUCACCUUGGUACCGCUCCAGCUGUUGCUCACAUCAAUACUGUUCCAGCUGUUACUCACCUGGAUAUAGCUCCACCUGUUGCUUACCUUGGUACAGCUCAAUUCGUUGCUCACCUAGAUAUAACUCCAGCUGUUGCUCAUCGGGGUGUAUCUCCAGCUGUUGCUCACAAUGAUACUGCUCCAGCUGUUGCUCCCUUGCUGCCACUCCAGCUGUUUCUAAAUUCAGUACAGCCUCAUCUGUUAUUCAUCUAGGCACAGCUCCAGCUCCCCUUGCUGCAGCUCCAGCUGUUGCUCACCUUGGCACUGCUCCAGCUGUUGCUCACAUCAAUACUGCUCCAGCUGUUGCUCACCUCAGUGCAGCUCCAGCCUUUGCUGUCCUUGCUGUAGUUCCAGUUGUUGCUCACCUUGAUGCAGCUCCAGCUGCUGUGCACCUUGCCACAGUUCCUGGGGCUACUCUUCCAGAUGCUGGUGCUACCCUGGUAGAUACUGGAGAUACAGCUCCAGCUGCUCCUGUCCAUGGUAAACCUGGAUAGAAGCACCAUCAGGAAAACACAACACACCCUUUAACAAAUGAUCUGUAAUGACUGUGCAUGGCUUUCAAAGAUCCUGGGUUCCCAAAUUAUUGCCAUUCAAGUCAAUGAUAUUUUGGGUGCUCAGGAGCUCUGAAAAUCAAGAAUUACACAUUUUUUACACCUUUGACCAGGGGAUGUAUUCUAGAUAAGCUUUCGCCUGCCUGUUUUCCUCCAAAUGUUUGGACAACAAAUCGUGUAAGCCCCAGCCAGCUGGAAUUGAUAAGAGUUGCUGUCCAGGACAUAGGAAGGCACCAGGCUGUUGAAGUCUGUUCUAGAUGUUGUUCAGUAGAUUGCCACUGUAUUUCCUUAUACACACUUUCCCCCUUUUCAGAUCUUGAGUAUCUUAGAGAUGCAAAUAAUUCCUUCUGCUCGGUUCUUUGGGUGGUGGUGGUGGCAGAAAAUAAGAACAAAGUAUUGUACCGUGGUUUUCAAACUGUGUUCUGAGGAACCUUGGGGUUUACAAGCAUUCCACAAAACCAAUUCAUGAGAAGUCCUAAGUGUGCAUGGGGGGGGGGACAGAGUAUCUCUGCAAAACCAGUGCUUGGAGCAUUCAUUCUAAAAAGGCAUUCGACCCCUUCCAUCCCUUCCAAUGAAGGAACUAGUUCCAGAUCGAGUUUGCCCCCUCCAAAAAGGAACUAAUUGUGUUCCAUUUCAAUUCACAAUUCAUUCAUGUCAUCCUCUGCAUUUUCUACAAGUAUCGAAAUUUUACAAGGUGCUCUGCUUAAGUAUAAAAUGUUCUUAAGGAGAGUACCAAAACAUCAACAUGAACACAGUGGAAUGUGAACAAUCAUUUGAUUUCCCUUCCUCAACAAUUACGAUCCUUAAACUUUAAUGGCAGCAUCACUUGUUAGGUAGGUAAAAAUGGUAAAUGCAAUGGUCACCAUCAAACUGGGGUUAAGUGCAAUGAAACCCCUUUAUAUACAGAAAUUAAAAUGAGAACUGAAUUAAAAAUAGCCCUACGUUCCACCACAAAAGCAACUUAAUUCACAUUCAGUUCACUCGGGAAUUGUAGGAACUACUUUCAGGUGUAAUUCAGAGAUUUUUGAAUUAAUUCAGCAAACUGGUUAAUCUGAAUUAGUAUGUUCCAAGCACUGUGCAGUGCAGCAGAGGCCCAUCUGCACUGUGCAUUUCAAGCAAUAUUACACCACUUUAAAUAGUCAUGGCUUCCCCCAAAGAAUCCUAGAAACUGUCGGGUGCUGAGAGUUGUUCCUUCCAUAUUAUUUCACAGAGUGAUGAUUCCCAGAGUUCCCUGAAAAGAUGGAUUGGUUAUUAAACCACGUUGGGAAUCGUAGCUCUGUGAGGGGAAUAAAAAAUGGAAAUGGACUGCCCUCAAGUUAAUCCAGAUUUAUGGCGACCCUACAGAUAGGGUUUUUGUGGUAAGCUGUAUUCAGAGGGGUGUUUACCAUUGCCUUCCUCUGAGGCUGAGAGGCAGUGACUGGCCCAAGGUCACCCACUGAGCUUCAUGGCUGCGUGGGGUUUCGAAUCCUGGUCUCCCAGGCCAUAGUCCAACACCUUAACCAUUACACCAUGCUGGCUCUCGGGCCUCUUAACAAAUCUCAACACUCUUAACAAAAUACACAUCCCAGGAGUCUUUGUUUUUUGCAUUUCCUUUUGCUCCUCCCCCCAAUAAGAAUUAGUUGAAAGUGAUCCCACCCCAAGGUAGGAACCGUGAAAACCACUGCUUUACAAAGUCAUUGCUGGGAUGGCCACUGGCUUAGGGCGAUUUUGCACAUUAUCUUCAGUUGCUGGAUUUCUGCCACCUCUGUGGUUUGCUCUGUACCCAGCCAGUAAUAUGUGGAUCUUCAGCGAGGGUAAGUUAUGCACACACACCAUGCUGGUGGUGACACAUCCCACAAUGACCAGAACAAUAUGUAAUGCUGCCUUCUGGCCUAACGACAUAGGCAGAAAGUAUUUAUAUGGUGAUAGGAAGAAGAUAGAAAUCACUAAGAGGGAGAGGAGUCUUCUCUUCUACUAGCUGAGGUUGUCCAUCAUGGGAUAAAGGGAACGAUAUCAUAAAUAUGGCCAUGAUGGGAUUUGGACAGGUGAUGGGUAAAAUAUUUGACUUGUGACAGAGAGGUUGGUGGGGUAAAGGGACAACAUACAGCUCACUCCUUCCAUGGUUGGAGCCAGUAUGCCUCUGAGUGCCAUUUGCUGGAAACUGCUGGAGGGGAGAGAUGGUGCUGCACUCGGGUCCUGUUUGUUGGCUUUCCAGAAGAGGCAUCUGGUUGGUCAUUGUGAGAAUAGGAUGCUGGAGUAGAUGGGCCUUUAGUAUGAUCCAGCUGUAGGGCUCUUCUUAUGUUCUUACAUUCAGAGGAAGAAGGAUUGCAAAAUUCAUGGAGGGAGACAGAUCCAGCAAUAGCUAUUAACCACCGAAGCUAAAUAGACGUUCUGUCUUCAGAUGCAGUCUGUCUUUGAUUGUUAAUGUAGAUAGGACAAAUGACAGAGGAUGGCCAAUCAGCUUCUUGCCUUGCUCAGCAGGUUCCAGAGGCAACUUAUUGGCUACCAUUAGAAAGAAAAGGAGAAUGGGACACAAGCCGGACCUUUGGCCAUCACAAAUGAAAGAGUGUUUGUGCAUGUUAGGAAGAUCAGUACAUGAGCGGGAAAGAAGGACGGAUUCCGGGGCCAGAAGAUGUGAGGAUGGCCCCUCAGGCUUAGAUGGCUUUUCUGGAAAAUGUAGACCGAUCCGUGGAGGAGAGGUCUAGCAACAGCUGUUCAACAGAAUGGCUAAGAAUUGUACCUCUGUGCUCAGAGGCAAUGGGCUGCAUCCAUCUGAGUCCUACUCAGAGUAAGCCCAUGGAAAUAAAUGGUCAUGACUACCGUAGGUCCAUUGAAACCAAUAUACGUGAUCUGAGUAGGAAUUAGCUGGAUGCAAGCCAGUAUGCCACUGAUCAAUAGAUGCACCUGGAGACGAACCACAGAGGGUGUAUUAUCCUUUCCACACAAACCCUGUGUGUGGGUUUCUCUGGGGAACAUGGCUUGCCUCUGUAGGAAACAGAGUGCUGGACUAGAUAACCCCAUAUUUUGUGGGGUCUGAUCCAGCACGGCUAGUCAUGUUCUUAAGUAACCUUAAUAUUACAGUAUCUCUUUACACCUGCUUUGUUGUCAUGUUCUUAAGUAUCCUUGAGAUUAUGACUGUGCCUGCUUUGUAAUGAAUAGUUUCACUCUGGCUUUUUGCUACUCCUUCUCAUUAAAGUUUGUAUUCUGCAUUGAA